rnacentral:rRNA from 1 species
CCUACGGGUGGCAGCAGUGAGGAAUAUUGGUCAAUGGACGGAAGUCUGAACCAGCCAUGCCGCGUGCAGGAAGACGGCUCUAUGAGUUGUAAACUGCUUUUGUAUAAGGGUAAAUUUGAAUACGUGUACUCAGCUGAAAGUACCGUACGAAUAAGGAUCGGCUAACUCCGUGCCAGCAGCCGCGGUAAUACGGAGGAUCCAAGCGUUAUCCGGAUUUAUUGGGUUUAAAGGGUGCGUAGGCGGGUUGAUAAGUUAGAGGUGAAAUGUCCGAGCUCAACUCGGGAACUGCCUCUAAUACUGUUGAUCUAGAGAAUAGAUGCGGUAGGCGGAAUGUGUGGUGUAGCAGUGAAAUGCUUAGAUAUCAUGCAGAACACCGAUUGCGAAGGCAGCUUAC